rnacentral:rRNA from 1 species
GACGAACGCUGGCGGCGUGCCUAAUACAUGCAAGUUGAGCGCUGAAGGUUGGUACUUGUACCAACUGGAUGAGCAGCGAACGGGUGAGUAACGCGUGGGGAAUCUGCCUUUGAGCGGGGGACAACAUUUGGAAACGAAUGCUAAUACCGCAUAAAAACUUUAAACACAAGUUUUAAGUUUGAAAGAUGCAAUUGCAUCACUCAAAGAUGAUCCCGCGUUGUAUUAGCUAGUUGGUGAGGUAAAGGCUCACCAAGGCGAUGAUACAUAGCCGACCUGAGAGGGUGAUCGGCCACAUUGGGACUGAGACACGGCCCAAACUCCUACGGGAGGCAGCAGUAGGGAAUCUUCGGCAAUGGACGAAAGUCUGACCGAGCAACGCCGCGGGAGUGAAGAAGGGUUUCGGAUCGUAAAACUCGGUUGGUAGAGAAGAACGUUGGUGAGAGUGGAAAGCUCAUCAAGUGACGGUAACUACACAGAAAGGGACGGCUAACUACGUG